UCCUAACACGCACCCAGGCCCUUCGCUGCUGGAGGCCGGCCCCGCUAGGCUCCAACCCCCUGGGUUUCCAACCAACUGAGCGCCUUCCCCAGGUGGAGCCCCUUCCCCAGGUUGCUCGCUGGGACCCCUUCUCCCUGCAGGGGAGGGAACUGAACUGUGGCAGGGACAGGCGGGGACCCACAGAUCCACACCGUGGGGCCCUUCAGGCCACCGAUCCCGGGGAUUCCGCAAGGCAGUGACAUGACCUGCCAAAUCAAGGGAGGGGAUCACACUCAACCAAGACCUGCGGAGACCUAACCAAGGGCCGGGGGGCUCUUGCUUGCGUCCUGACUCUGGACAAGCAAGGAGAAAAAGGCCCUUGUGAGGCAGCUGCCGAGAUCUGCACACUCCCGGUGAUGAGGACACUCCAGUUCCGUUUCAAAGAAAAACCCAUCCCGUACAGGCUGGGACUGGCUUCAAAAUACCUUGGCGGGAAGAGGGGAGGCAGCUGGAGGGAGCGGGCAAAGCCGGGUAAGUGCGGAACGUGGGUGAGGGGCAGAUGGUGCAUUGCGUUCUCCCGGUGGAAAAUCUCCAUGAUCAUUGUUUAAAUGUGCUCAGUUCAUUUUUUAAGAUAGCUGUUCUCUUGAGGAAAUAUUGCAGGAUGUGACAAAACGCAGACCGGGAACGUCCGCUCUGUCAUUUUGCCGCUUCCCCGUGUGAACCCGGCGACAACAGGGCAUGUCACGUGGCCGCGGACCCCAGACGGGACCUCAUUCCCGCCUCUUCUGCGGACUGGACUCUGAGACCUUCCGCUGGUCCCGCACGCAGGGGGAGGGAUUGCGUCGACACCCGUCGGAAGCUACAGGCUUGAUCAUCACAGAGCCAACCGGCUGAUGGCGAUUUUAUGCAGAGCUGAGCACAACAGCCGGGGCCUGUCACCCCGGGUCUCGAGUGAAGAUCCAGCGGUGUUUUCAAGCAGAAAUAAUGGGCCGCCGUGGCUGUUUAAAGAGGUGGAGGACGGCUGAGCCCUCGCGGGCCCAGCGACCGGGGGUCAGGGUGACCCGCGCGGGCACAGACGCAGCCAACACGGGCCGCUGCGGACAGCACGUCUGUGCACCCCAGGAGAUAUGAAUUAUGUGCCUUUGAUUGAGAACAGCUGCUGCAUCCUCUGCACAGAAACGCCGACCCUUUGGGCCAAUUCAUCGGACCGUGACACGCACCACCAGGUGUCUACCCAGGGCCCUUCCUUCUUGUUCUUGAGUCCCUAAACCUUGUCCAGCCCCCGCCCUUGUGCCCCGGUGACACUGCUCUGGCCAUGAGGGGACACAGAGGCUGCUGGGGGUUCUGGGCAAGUGCU